UACGGAGGGUGCGAGCGUUAAUCGGAAUAACUGGGCGUAAAGGGCACGCAGGCGGUCAAUUAAGUCAGAUGUGAGAGCCCCGAGCUUAACUUGGGAAUUGCAUCCGAAACUGGUUGGCUAGAGUCUUGUAGAGGGGGGUAGAAUUCCAUGUGUAGCGGUGAAAUGCGUAGAGAUGUGGAGGAAUACCGGUGGCGAAGGCAGCCCCUUGGGAAUGUACUGACGCUCAUGUGCGAAAGCGUGGGGAGCCAACAGG
rnacentral:rRNA from 1 species